GGAAGACGGACGAUCCAAAGAAUACCACUCGAUGCCCAAAAGAGAAACGACCAAACUCCACGCGUGAAAAUCUCGCAAUUUCUCGACAAGAUGUGUUCGCACUGCUUGUUCCCAGUUGUCGGCAAGUGUGGAACAAGUUGUUAUCAUGUUGUAACAAGUUUUAAUGGGGCCAAUAGACUCGCAACAAGUUGUUCCCACAAGUCUGAUAUGGUCUGCACAUAUAACAACAAGUUAUUAACAAGAUGAUGGCAACAAGCUCGUAGCAACUUGUUGUGAACAGCAUGUAUUAAAUGUCUUGUUGGAACAACUUGUAGCAAGUCUGUUACCGUCGUCAACCUUGUAAGAAUGUAAUAACAACUUGCCAUUCGUGCUUUCAAUAUAUAGUUCUUCGGGUCUUCUAAUAAUUGACCUUUUCGGCGCUAAAAUGACGUGUAGUAUCACGUGGCUAAAAACGUAAACAAAUGUCCUAAAGCUGGAGUUACACGAGCAACAAAAUUGCUGCAACUUGCAACAAAAUCUGAUUUCAACGCAUGUUGAGUAGAAACGUCGACACAUGUUGCCUUGUGAUUUGUAAUUUAUGUGUAAACAUUUUCAAUUAACAUGCGUUGAAAUCAGAUUUUGUUGCAAGUUGCAGCAAUUUUGUUGCUCGUGUAACUCCGCCUUAAGUUUGGCCAAGCUCGCUUGAACAAAAUGGCGGCUGUGGGAAGCUGUACUGUCAUCUGUAUCUAUAUUGUUUGUCUUUUGCUUGACAUUCACGG